GAUGACACUGUAAAUAAACUUCAUCCUGUGUAUUCUAGAGGUGUUCUGUCUCCUGAACGUCAUGUUCGUACUAGAUUAUAUUUUACCAGUGAAAGUCAUGUACAUUCUUUGCUGUCUAUUCUUCGCUAUGGUGCCUUAUGCAAUGUAAGUAGAAUAAGUUAUUUCAGUCUAACAAAUAUAUUUAAUUUUGUAAUUAAAUCACUAACUGCUAUUUUUACUGUGAAAUUUUAGUAAUUCAUCCUUAAGUUUUACUACUUAAUGUCGUCUUUCAAGGGACUACUAUAUACCAAGCAUUUUGCUAGAUUUUAGGGAUAAAGAUGUUCUCUUCAGAGAAGAUACAUUUAAGCAAACAAUAAUAUAAAG
rnacentral:lncRNA from 10 species